CCCUUAGAUGUUCUGGGCCGCACGCGCGCUACACUGACGAAUGCAACGAGCUUAUAACCUUGGCCGAAAGGUCUGGGUAAUCUCCAAAUUUCGUCGUGAUGGGGAUAGAUUAUUGCAAUUAUUAAUCUUCAACGAGGAAUGCCUAGUAAGCGCAAGUCAUCAGCUUGCGUUGAUUACGUCCCUGCCCUUUGUACAUACCGCCCGUCGCUCCUACCGAUUGAAUGGUCCGGUGAAGCGUUCGGACCGUGGCCUUUGGACGGUUCGCCGUCUGUUGGCUGCGGGAAGUUCGUUAAACCUUAUCAUUUAGAGGAAGGAGAAGUCGUAACA
rnacentral:rRNA from 1 species